rnacentral:rRNA from 1 species
GUAGGGUGCAAGCGUUAAUCGGAAUUACUGGGCGUAAAGCGUGCGCAGGCGGUUAUGCAAGACAGAUGUGAAAUCCCCGGGCUCAACCUGGGAACUGCAUUUGUGACUGCAUGACUAGAGUACGGCAGAGGGAGAUGGAAUUCCGCGUGUAGCAGUGAAAUGCGUAGAUAUGCGGAGGAACACCGAUGGCGAAGGCAAUCUCCUGGGCCUGUACUGACGCUCAUGCACGAAAGCGUGGGGAGCAAACAGGAUUAGAUACCCCUGGUAGUCCCACGCCCCUAAACGAUGUCAACUGGUUGUUGGACGGCUUGCUGUUCAGUAACGAAGCUAACGCGUGAAGUUGACCGCCUGGGGAGUACGGCCGCAAGGUUG